UACGUAGGGUGCAAGCGUUAAUCGGAAUUACUGGGCGUAAAGCGUGCGCAGGCGGUUGUGCAAGACAGAUGUGAAAUCCCCGGGCUCAACCUGGGAAUUGCAUUCGUGACUGCACGGCUAGAGUGUGUCAGAGGGGGGUAGAAUUCCACGUGUAGCAGUGAAAUGCGUAGAGAUGUGGAGGAAUACCGAUGGCGAAGGCAGCCCCCUGGGAUAACACUGACGCUCAUGCACGAAAGCGUGGGGAGCAAACAGG
rnacentral:rRNA from 1 species